rnacentral:rRNA from 1 species
GACGAACGCUGGCGGCGUGCUUAACACAUGCAAGUCGAACGGAAAGGCCCUGCGUUUGUGGGGUGCUCGAGUGGCGAACGGGUGAGUAACACGUGAGUAACCUGCCCUUGACUUUGGGAUAACUUCAGGAAACUGGGGCUAAUACAGGAUAGGAGCUGCUGCUGCAUGGUGGGGGUUGGAAAGUUUCGGCGGUUGGGGAUGGACGAGCGGCUUAUCAGCUUGUUGGUGGGGUAGUGGCUUACCAAGGAUUUGACGGGUAGCCGGCCUGAGAGGGUGACCGGCCACCUUGGUACUGAGAUACGGCCCAGUCUGCUACGUUAGGCAGCAGUGGGGAAUAUUACCCAAUGGUCGCAAGCCUGAUGCAGCAACGCCGCGGUCGUGAUGACGGCCUUCUGGUUGUAAACCGCUUUCGCCUGUGACGAAGCGUUAGUGACGGUAAUGGGUAAAUAAGCACCGGCUAACUACGUG